rnacentral:rRNA from 1 species
UACGUGGGGGGCCAGCGUUGCUCGGAAUUACUGGGUGUAAAGGGUUCGUAGGCGGUGUAGCAAGUCGGGAGUGAAAUCUCUGGGCUCAACCCAGAGACUGCUUCCGAAACUGCUGUGCUUGAGUGUGGGAGAGGCGCGUGGAAUUGCAGGUGUAGCGGUGAAAUGCGUAGAUAUCUGGAGGAACACCAGUGGCGAAAGCGGCGCGCUGGACCACAUCUGACGCUGAGGCGCGAAAGCUAGGGGAGCAAACAGG